UACGUAGGGGGCAAGCGUUGUCCGGAAUCAUUGGGCGUAAAGAGCGUGUAGGCGGCUCGAUAAGUCUGCUGUGAAAGUCCAGGGCUCAACCCUGGAAGGCCGGUGGAAACUGUCGGGCUAGAGUCCGGAAGAGGCGAGUGGAAUUCCCGGUGUAGCGGUGAAAUGCGCAGAUAUCAGGAGGAACACCAAUUGCGAAGGCAGCUCGCUGGAACGUAACUGACGCUGAGACGCGAAAGCGUGGGGAGCAAACAGG
rnacentral:rRNA from 1 species